rnacentral:rRNA from 1 species
UACAGAGGUCCCAAGCGUUACUGAGAAUCACUGGGCUUAAAGGGUGCGUAGGCGGUCCGUUAAGUUCGUUGUGAAAUCCCUGGGCUCAACCCAGGAACUGCUUCGAAUACUGGCGGACUUGAGGCCAGUAGGGGUCACUAGAACUGACGGUGGAGCGGUGAAAUGCGUAGAUAUCGGUUGGAACGCCAAAGGUGAAAACAGGCGACUGGGAGUGUGCUGACGCUGAGACACGAAAGCCAGGGGAGCAAACGGG